UUAUGGCCAUACCACAUUGAAGCACCAGUUCCCAUGUGAUCACCAAGGUAAAGCAAUGUCAAAGCCUGGUCAGUACCUAGCUGGUUGACUGCUUGGGAAUACCAGGUUCUGCAAG